rnacentral:rRNA from 1 species
CGAGAAGACCCUAUGGAGCUUUAAACACUUAAGUUAAUUAUGUAACCAUUUAUUCCUCAGGGUAUAAACAAAUAUAUAAUACUUCUAACUUAACUGUUUUUGGUUGGGGCGACCCAGG